GUCAUCGACAAUACCCUAACUCUGCGGUGCUUGAAAAUAAAGGCAUUGUUCGACGCGGGUCAUUCGCAACACAGGAAUUAGGCGAUCGGAACGAUUUGACUGAUUGCCGACGGCCUCGUGAUCGAUUUAUCAUAGUCCACGUGCGCGGAGAUUGAAUCGUCGCAGCCCGUAGUGAAGACGUCCGCCGGUUUGACGUUCCCCCCUUCGGGCCUGGUCGGGCCUCCUCGGGCCUCCCUCCGCUGGAAUAAAGGAGAGAGAUGACGGAGGAUCUGCAGCGAGACCCGCGGCGUGAUAAUCGACCAGGAGCACAGAAAAAAAUAAGGACGCCCAUACGGGAGAGCAAGUUGAGGAUCGUUCGCAGGGCUAUCCCUUAGCUUAGCGUAUCUUGAGCGUGAAUAGAAUUAUUGGCACAUUAUCGGAAGAGGUAUCGAGUAGACGAAGAGCAGAGUGGCCACCAGGCGCGGUCGCUCUAAGAUGAAAAUCGGCCCCGAUGAUCGCUGUACAUGGGGAUUCCUCGGGGUGUAUCUGCAUCCCUGAAAAAGGGCGUCAUGCAUGGCUCCUCGCGCGCCGGGGUGUCAUCUGCGCCCCCCUAGAGCUAUAUCUGCGUCUAUCUGCCGGGAAGCAUCGACAGUGAACGGUCUCCGCGAAAAGAGGUUAUGUUGUCACAUGACAGUCCAUUAGGACGCUCACGAACAGUUCGAACUCGUUGACUAUCAAAUUAUUGUUAUCAUAACCAUCUGGCGGCCGGUUCGACGAGCCUAAAAGCCGUCGGCCGGGCUGUUCGUCGGAUCAAAGAAAGUCCCGACGCUUCGAUUCUGCCGGAACGGCAAACAUAACGCGAAAUUCCCUGGCGGAUAGAUAGCAAAGUGAGCGUCGAACGAAUCGGCAAAGUGCCUUGGGGACCGGCCAGAGUUUUAUACGAAGGGGAACAAAGAGUCCCGUGUGUUCAGGCCCGAAGAACGACGCUGCAUCGGCUUUCAACGGGGCGGUUCAAAUAUGCAUUCGUGACCGAAGACACGGAUUAAAGAUCAAAAGACCGUGCGUCGUAUUUCUCCCGCGACGCAUGUCUCUACAUCCUCGCAUAUGUGUUUUUCUUCCGAUUCUUCCUGCGACAAUGAAAACAUAAUGAAAGACAAUCGGCAACGAGACGAAGAAUUUCAUGCUUGUUCUAAAUAAUAAUGGAAUAAUAAUGUGAAUGCAGCACA